rnacentral:rRNA from 1 species
UGAAUACGAGACGCUACGGCGUCGAAGCAGUCUAUGUCAUACUUCCAAGAAAAGCUCGCAAUGUCAUAAACAAAUAAUGCCUGCACCAUAACCGACACAGGUGGGUAGGUAGAGUAUACUAAGGGGCGCGAGAUAACUCUCUCUAAGGAACUCGGCAAAAUAACUCCGUAACUUCGGGAGAAGGAGUGCCUUAUUUAUAAGGUUGCAAUAACAAGAUCCAAGCAACUGUUUAUCAAAAACACAGGUCUCCGCUAAGUCGUAAGACGAUGUAUGGGGGCUGACGCCUGCCCAGUGCCAGAAGGUUAAAGAAGUUGGUUAGCAUUCGCGAAGCUGAUAACUGAAGCCCUGGUGAACGGCGGCCGUAACUAUAACGGUCCUAAGGUAGCGAAAUUCCUUGUCGGGUAAGUUCCGACCCGCACGAAAGGCGUAAUGAUUUGGAUACUGUCUCGGAGAGGGGCUCGGUGAAAUAGACUUGUCUGUGAAGAUGCGGACUACCUGCACCUGGACAGAAAGACCCUAUGAAGCUUUACUGUAACUUGAAAUUGAAAUUGGACUUAUUUGCGCAGCAUAGGUGGGAGGCGUUGAGAGUAUUCUUGCGGGAAUAUUGGAGCCAUCAGUGAGAUACCACUCUUGUAAUGUUAGAUUUCUAACUUUGGAUCAUUAUCUGGUCAAAGAACAGUUUCAGGCGGGCAGUUUGACUGGGGCGGUCGCCUCCCAAAUGGUAACGGAGGCGUACAAAGGUUUCCUCUGAACGGGUAGAAAUCGUAUCUAGAGUGUAAAGGCAUAAGGAAGCUUGACUGUGAGACCUACAAGUCGAGCAGGGACGAAAGUCGGUCUUAGUGAUCUGACGGUGCUGAGUGGAAAGGCCGUCACUCAACGGAUAAAAGUUACUCUAGGGAUAACAGGCUGAUCUCCCCCAAGAGUUCACAUCGACGGGGAGGUUUGGCACCUCGAUGUCGGCUCAUCGCAUCCUGGGGCGGUAGUACGUCCCAAGGGUUGGGCUGUUCGCCCAUGAAAGCGGUACGCGAGCUGGGUUCAGAACGUCGUGAGACAGUUCUGUCCAUAUCCGGUGUAGGCGUUAGAAUAUUGAGGGGAGCCUUCUUUAGUACGAGAGGACCGAGAAGGACAUACCUCUGGUGUACCAGUUAUCGUGCCAACGGUAAACGCUGGGUAGCUAUGUAUGGAGAGGAUAACCGCUGAAAGCAUCUAAGUGGGAAGCCCACCUCAAGAUAAGUAUUCUC